ACUGGCCUUGGCUCAAGGUGACCAUGGAACCUUCAAUGGACUGCAGAGAAAGGAGUUCUCAGGCCCAGCCGGGACAGAUGGUGCCCCUCCCCAGGGCUGAGACAAGUGGCAGGAGAGGACACAUGGGAAGAGAAGAAGGAGAAUACCUCUCACACUCAUGUGUCAGACUCACCUGAUCCAGGAUGGAGACCCCUGGAGCCUCGGCCAGCUUUCUCUGCAGCAGGGGAUGCGGGUGGAUGGUGCCUGGCUUCACAUAGGGGAUGUGGCCAGACAGCAGGUAGGACAGGCAGAUACCAGAAGGACCAUUGCCUGCAGAGACAGGGCGGGGUGUUAGGGGGACUUGGCCUGGCUGUUUGCUCCUCCAUUCUGUGAAACAUUCGCCAAGUCCUUACUCUGUGUCAGAUUCCAUGUGUAAUAAUGAUUAAGAAAUAAACUAAUGAGCAAUA